CCCCGCUGCUGCCGCCGCCAAAAUCCGGAGCUGGCACCGCCGCCGCGGGACCUGCGGCCUCCGGACCCCCGCCCGCGGCCUGCCGCAGGGGCUGGCAGCUGCGGGACGCGGCGCUCGGGGUGCCGGGGGAGGCUUUUCCCGACCUUUCCCCGCGCUCCUCGGCUGUACUGGAAGAGCCUGGCCGCUACCAGAGCAAGGGUUGGCACUCCUGGGUCUGGAAUCCCAGGCUGGCACAGGUGAUGGCUGCCAUCGUGACUGACCUGCGGGAGCAGCGCCGGGAGCCAGCCCCUGGCACCGGGGUGUGGGAGCGGCCGGGGUCUGCCCGCGUGUACCCGGCACACAGAGCUCGCAUAUCCGCAAACACCCUGCAUCGACUUCUUAACCAACAAAAUGUCCUUUCCUACACAAGUAGUCACGGCUGCACAUGGGCCGUUUUUUCCCUUUGAGUAUUCCAAACUGCAUCACCUGAACCAGAAAAUGAAGCUGUCCAAAGAGCUCACAAUAAUCCGAACAUGGUAACAUACAUGUCUAAUAUCCCUGCAACAACAAAUGCUGACAAGAAACCGUAUCUGCGUGCCUUCAUUCGCCUCCAUUUUAGAUCCUAAAAUGAAACUUCAAGCUAGACAACCCUAUAGGUAUUCCUUUUUGCUUCAAACCUCUUGGCUUGCAAACUGGCACACCUCAGUGCAAAAGCAGCAGCAGCAGCACAGCACCUGGCUCUUCCUAAACUCCCCCUGCGUAGAAACCACCUGCACUACUUAAACGUGAUGCUUGAUACACUGAGGCGCAAGAACACUAGAAAAAGGACGGACAUUACUCUGGAGUCCAAAAAGACUUUCAGCUUUUAUCUCCAAAUAUUAUUAGUCCCCCACAUUUUCAAAGAUGGCUUACUGAAAAAUUAAUAUUUUGAUAGAUACAUAUGUGUGCAAAAUCCUGGUCCCGACUAAAAUCAGAGAUUGCAAUCAAUUUCAAUUAAACAAAACAGCAUUUUAAUCUAAAAACUCUUGAGAUGUAUGUAGCAAAAAGAAACUAGAUUUUACAAGCAUUUAGUUGUUUUUGGUUUUGUUUUUUUUUAAUGGCUCCCUCACUCAAGUGGGAAGUGUUGAAUCAAGGAAGAGAAACUGGUAUUGUCUAUCUUGAGCACACAUCAGAGGAAGGUGAAAAGGGCAGGACCCAGAAAAUGAACAGAGAGAAACCAUAGCUAUCACAUGAAUAUGUCUCCUCUGCACAAAGGAAAAUCUUAAACUCUAUAAGAGGUUGCAGCAGUGCUUCUUCACCAACCCAACUUCCAGUACAAAUUGUACACAGGAAUAAAAACAAAAUCCCAAAGGAAAGAUGAAUCUUCCUGGUCUUCCCCUCUCUUCUGAGGCAACCAGUGUGGGAACCUCCUUGAGUUCCUGAAAGUUGAGGUUCUCACCUUGGGAUGCAUCGAUUGUUUGUGAGCCUCAGGCUGAAUGUUGGGGAGCGCAAGCUGUUUGCUUGAGGCCGUAUCUGCAUUCUUGUAUGGAGGACUGACAACACAGCUGAAGCCACACAGGGUGGCCACCCCUAUCAGAGUCAGUCUCGUUUCUUGGACUGUUCUGCUUGGAGUAAGAAGGGACAAAACCCCAGUAAGAAUUAAUGUGGAGCUCCUACAGAUGCAGCUCAAGAGACCUGGUUGCCCCUCCAAUCCAGAGCAGGACGGAUGCAGAGCAUUUUCUUGCAAACACUAGGUUAAAGUAGAGAAGGUUUCUAUACAGCAACCCUGCAGACCUUGUGCAGCCUUCCACAGCCUCCUUUGCUGCUUUGGUUCCGUUUUUUAACAAAAGAGCAAAUGGAAAGAUGGAGGUAAUCAAAAGCAUAGGAGUGAUGUAAGACACUGGUAAAGAGAUUUUUCCGGCUUGCCAGUCUUCCUGCCUCAACUUUCACAGGCAUCUCUGAACUCUCUGCUGACACUGUCCUCAAUGUGGGCACUGCACUAGGUCAGUAACACUGGUGACCUGCUCUCUGCUUCUCCUCACUGACCUCUCUUUUUUAUGUAGCCUACUGCUGCAAAUCAGAAUCUGCAACUCACUAGUGGUUGAGUUUUACUCCACCUCAGCAUCAAACUUGGGAGGAAAGAAAGAGAGAAAUUAAUUGUAACUGCAUAGGUAUGCAAGAAAAAGAAUUCUUUCUCUCUAGUAAUAAAUUAUUGGUAAGUUUCUCUCUCUGUAGAUGUCAAAUAUUAACACAAAAGUACACAUUCCGUGGAAGGCUACAUUUGGAGUUUUAUAAGAUACAUGAACCAGGAAACAAAAAAAUUAUGACUAACUGUGUUAAAAUUACUGAGUAAGGGUUUAGGAAUAAACCAGCAGGUACUUUGCAGAGAAGUGAAUAUCACACUCAAAAAAAAUCUAACCUUCAUCCUUUUGUUUAAACCCAUGAUCUCAAAAAAGUAAUUACAAUUUUUUGAGAGGGGCUUAUCUGUUUUAAGAAGCAGGGUAGAAGAGAUGCCAGAAAAGAUGAGGUAUGCAUUUCCACAGUGACCAUGGACCUGAUCUCAAAUCGCCUUCAUGUCCUUUGAUUAAGGACAAAUUCACUGAUGAAGAGGGUCAGGCAACACUGAGGGGCCUGGCAAAGCUGAGCAGUUUCUUGUUUCUUUGACAUGGUUUGCUGUUCCCAUUCCCAAGCCAUACUCCUUUACUUGGCAGCUGCCACAAUGUAACUCACCUGACAAACCAACUUCUCCUGUGCCCACUCCUCUCCUGUCUUUGUGCAGCACAGGGAGCAAAAGAGUGAAAGCAGGUGAUGUGAUGGAGCAGAAGGCUGUGGGCUAAAGGUAAUAGUCUGAAGAAAAAGAAAAGUUUUCCAUAGAAAAACUGCAGGCAGCAGUCCACAGAAAUGACAAUGAUAGCCUUUAGCCCUGAGAAAGCAUUUGUGAAGGGGAGGAUUAGAUCUAAGCAGGAGACAGAUGCUCCUUGGGAAGUGUGGAAAAGCAUCAGGUGAAAAGCAGAUUUGCAGUAUGAUUACAGUAAAGAAAGAGGACAAUCCUCUUUCAUUCAAGCUAGUUAUACCUCAUUCAAGCUAGUUAUUCCUCAUCCAUGUCCCACAAGAAAGCACAGGAAACAGGGAACUUCUGCUAUGACCAUCCCAUCAGCUCAGGGUUUCCCUUUAGACCCUUAUUGGUAAAAUAAUUCCAGUGUUUAUUCUUGUCUUUUCUGACUAGAAAUUCCUUGUCUGUGAAGAGAGACUCACAUGGCAUCAUUCCACACACGUCCAUCUGUUGCUACCAGAGGCAGAAGCAGCUGAUUGAAACUAACAGAAAUCCAACAACAUCCUAAUAGCAUUUAAAAGACUAAGAAACCUGCUGUGGUUUAACUAUUCUUAGAUAUUACAAUGAAAUAACAUUGUUAAACAAAAUGACACGGAUGCAUUUGCAAUAAGCAAAAGGGACACGUCUUUUGAUGAAUUUACAAGACAACAGUAUAAUAGGAUAUGUUACCUGUUAGGCAAAACAGGAGACACUUUUCUGUCAGUAUCCCAGUUUAUGAAGAAUUUCACUUGGCUGGACACUCCAAGGGCACUUCCUCAACUUCCCCCACACCCCCCUCCCCCCUUUGAACAAAGUAAUCCAUUCCCAUUUUAAGGCAGUGGAAAAUUAGUUCUAAUCAGUUGUUCAGGAGAGUUGUCAGGAUUAAACAGAUUUAAAUAAAGCCAGGCAAAACAUGCUAAUAUUGCCCUAAUUUAGAAGUGAAUUAAUCAAUAAAUAAAGAAAUCAGCUAGAAUUAUAGCUGAAGUGUCCACUUUCAGAAAAGGAGUAAAAUCUAUACAGGAGGCAUGUCCUGGAUCCUCUGCAACGUGCUGACUAACAUCUUGCACAGCUGUAACAGCAAAGCCAGUUUGUAAAAGGUUUUGGAUAUCACGUAGAAUUUUGCAUUUAAUAGCAAAUUCUCAGGUCAACUAUCAUGAUCUCACAAUUUGGACAGGAACAAAAAGCUGGAAGGAAAACUAACUUGUGAGACACAACAUACAUAUGGGUGAUGUGCCUUAACCUCACCUUUAACUCCAAGGCACACCUCUGAGCAGGACACUCACUGCCUCUGCUGAGCUAGAUUUUCUCUACAUUCACACCAAACAUAUCUGACCUGUCAUUUCCUUGUAUUACCCCUUUAUCUUGAUAUAAACUUAGAGAUACUUUUUAGUUUCUUCCCAGUUGUUUUAACUUCUUUGCUUGGGAAAUUAAGUUUUAGCUACCUCAGAAAAUUGUUGAUUUUCAAAAAAGAAAAAAAAAAUAGAAAGUCUCUACAUGUUUAAAAAGUUAUGCUCUAAUUACUGUGAGUGCCUGCAUGGUUAGUGGUAUCUCUCAACAGAAUAUUCUUACAAAUACAGAAAGUCAUUGCAUACAACAACCUCAGCAUGAAGUGAGGAAUUCUGUAACUGUUUCUUAACCCUGUUUAAGGAUCCCAACAUGCAAUUACACACAAGAGCAAUCAUUAAAAAUUCGCUUCAGGAAAUAAUGUUGCCAGUAAGUUGGUACACUCAUGCACUCACAACCUGAUUUACAUCAAUAAUAUUUACCACAGAAAUACAGCUUUUGCUUGACUGCAUGACUAGCAAAUCCAGAUAAAAUAUCAAAACUUACUGAAUAAACAACAACCCUGUAUUUUUCUCCUUAUGCAUCUAAUUUUUUAACUAUACAUAUGUUUGUAAGAAAUACCUGUUGAGUCAUGUUCUGCUUGGCCUUUUGUGAUAUUAGAACUUAAGUUUCCUAUAAGUAUUUCUGUGGUAUAUUUGUACAAAGCAGAUGAUUUCUGGAUUAAAUUGCUCUCACAUAUUUGCUCAUAAUUGAAGAGACAUGGCUUGUUGACCCAUGUGGUCCUUUCCACAAUGAGGUUUAUGUUACAAUUAAACUUCAGGCUUUCAUGACAUGAAUUUAUUUAUUUCUCUGGAUAGAGAAAAUGGUCAGUAUGAAGACUAAGCAGGUACAUUACUUAUAUAAAUAACUAUUUCAUCUGCAGACCUAUGUUGCAGAGGGGGGAAAAACAAUUUUAAACAAAGUGUGAUCAUAUCCUGGAAAGUAAGUCUACUUUUUUCUCUUUUUCUACUGUUUACUUAUUCACUUUAUUCACUGCUAGUCUCAAAUGUUAUUUGAUAGAAUGAGUUCAUGAAAUUCAACCUGAAUGUUUUACUGAUCUUACUUUUACUAAAACCCAAAAUUUUUUUCCAGUAUCUACUGGGCUGCUUGUAUAACAUGGAUUAGAUUCUUUGGGGCAAAUAAUUCUCACAGGAUCAUUUCACUUGGGGUAAAAGGUGAUAAAAGCAUUGGUGCACGAAGGAGAAUGUUGAAAAGUCCACAGAAUCUGCAGACAUUUUGGAACAAUCCACUUAAUAAGUUACUGAGGAAUCAGUAUUUUCUCACAUACUUUGGGAAAGAAGAAGUUUGUUUUUACAAUAAAAACACACAAUGUGAGAAAAUUUCCUAGACUAUGGUAACAUUUUUUCUGGGUUUAAAGUUUCAGACUUAUCAACAACGGUGUCACAUUUCUGUACAAUCUGCGUAAUUGUAGGCUUGGUUUUGGUUGUUUUCUAGUUUGGGGUUUUCUUGUUUGUUUGUUUAGUUUGUUUGUUUUUUAAGGAGACCUAUUCCAGUUUGAUGCCCUGCAACCUCCUUAAAAUUUUAAGUCCUAAUGUCCCAAUGAUGCAGCACAAUGCUAUGCAGAACUAUCACAGCAGUGUCUGAAGUUAGGAAUAGCACAAGUGCAAAAGGGGUUUAAUUCAGCAAUUUCAGCUAAUGCAGAUGCUCAAAUACUGCACUAUAUGUUUUAAAACAUUGAGAAGGUUUUAGAAAGCUUAUUGCUGCUUGGAAUAUUUAACAACUUACAACAACACUUAUAUCGUCAACCAAUUUGCCUACCAAUCCUAAAACAUUUAAGGGCUUGAAACCUACCCAUAUGCAGAGUCUUCCUGUUCAGAAUCAGCUACACACAAUCUGCCACCCACAUCACUAAACACAAUGACAAGAUUAUGCUUCCAUGUCUUUGCAGCCUAUUCUUCACAAUAUGCAAAUCCUCAGGAACUGCAUUUCUGAUCCCAAUGCAACAGCACAAAAGCUAUUGUCGUAAGAAAUGGUUUAACCUGUCAGCAACACUGUCACCACAAUUACUACCACUAAUAAAGAUAUGAUCAUAAUCUGCCACUUAAGGAUCAUUAGAUACAUUAUGUCUACUGUAUUCUUUUACAUAAUUCUUUUACAUGGACACUGAUUGAGAACACAUGAUUUAAAUAAAAUCAAACACUAUACAUUUUCACUGACAAAUCUGUUCUUAACCUUUAGACAGUGUAGGGUGCUGCUUGCUGAUGUAGGGAAAAACAGCUAUUAAAAGGCUAACCCUGCAAAAUAUUUAUCAGAAAUAUAAACCACUGUAACACUGCAUACAAAAAGGAGAGCUUGGAAGAAGCACACAAAGAUGCUCUGUCUGAACAUGUAAAUGACUAACAUUAAGCUAGGUUAAAACUCCUCAGUACCAUUCAAAUGCUUGUGGUCCACGCAACAAUUUAUAGCGUGUUUGGGAAUGGACAGCUGUACAUUCAGAAAGAUUCAAAGUUUAUAUCUGCAAAAGGCACAGAGUGCAGAACAGAAGUUUAUGCUAUGUAAUUAUUUUUAUAUCAUUUUAUUGAGGCUGCAGAAACUAUGAAAAAUAUAGCAAAUGCUUAAACAUGAGUUGUAUAUGGAUCUCAGAUGCAGAUCUUUUGCAUGUGUCAUAGAGACCACCCCUCUGAAAGCUUAAUUUCUGGAAAUAUUUAAUCUCAGAAUGACCAUGAGCUGUCAGAGUGACCAUGAAAACAAAUCAAAACUGCACAGGGAUAUGCCCUUCCCACCCUGCCAAAUUCGAGGCCCAGAACAUACCAAACAAGGUAGUCCUCACAAAGAGAAAAAUACUAACAUUGUAGGAAUUUGUGGAAAACAUGAUCAACACUGGUCACCUCCCUUGAAGAUAAAGGAAGACAAAUUGGCAGAGGUAUGGAGAAGAGGGAUGAAGGUUAGACUGGAUGGCUGGUAUCAGAGACUAGGAGAAGCAUAGGAUUUAUCAGACCAGGGAUUGCUGUGGUUGCCUGUGAUGACCAGGUGAAGCACAUAGCACACCAUGGCACAUCCUGGGCACAAGGGCUGCAGCUUCUUACUGCAGCAGGAACACUGCAAAGGGCUGUUGCAGGCAAUGUUGUAUCCAGAACUGUGGGUCAGGAC